GGCCAGCCAAUGGGCUACCUGCACACCUGAGAGGGCGCAUGGUAUAUAGAGACCCUCUUACCUGGGACAUUGAUAAGAUAAACUCCAGAGGGAAACAUGCCAGGAAGAGGCUACAGCAGUGUGUCAAGCGAGGACCAAGACGCUGAGCAUGAUGGAAUGACCAGCCACAAAUUUUCUCACAAAAAAUCUGAAAGUCUGAGAGAGUGGACUGAAGAAGAGUACACACACAUUCCAGAGGAGAAGGCCAUUCAUUCCAACCAAGUGUGUUUCGAGAGGGUUGCAUUACAGGCCGUCCCAACUGGUUUAGCAGCUGAAGAACAUUCAGAGGAAAACCCAGGACCCAGAGAUCAAGACCAAUGGAAAGUUUAGGCAUUGCUACAAAAUCCUACAAAAGACUGGAAGAUGAGUUGGAAAAGACGCAAAGAGAGUUGAAAGAGUGCAGAAGGAGACUGAAGGAAGAGGAACAGAAGGCUAAGCGUUACCAAAGGAAGGCUCUCAUCUACAAAGCACAUAUUUUACACUGCCGAAAGACCUACGGCAUCA